UACGGGGGGGCAAGCGUUGUUCGGAAUUACUGGGCGUAAAGGGCUCGUAGGCGGCCAACUAAGUCAGACGUGAAAUCCCUCGGCUUAACCGGGGAACUGCAUCUGAUACUGGAUGGCUUGAGUUCGGGAGAGGGAUGCGGAAUUCCAGGUGUAGCGGUGAAAUGCGUAGAGAUCCGGAGGAACACCGAAGGCGAAGGCAGUGUCCUGGCUGGUGACUGACGCUGAGGUGCGAAAGCUAGGGGAGCGAACGGG
rnacentral:rRNA from 1 species